AAGUCGUAACAAGGUAACCGUAGGUGAACCUGCGGUUGGAUCAUUAACAAAUCCAAUUACAAGUCUAUGGGAAGGGGUGUCAAAGCUCUGGUACCGUAUUCUUGUUUUUAACACAAUGUGAACUGUAAUUGUCUCUGGUGUGGUUAAGAGUCUCGCUCUUUGGAGCGGGAUAGCCGGCGGACACUCGUGUCCAUUGGCUACCCACCGUUAUGAAUUUAAACUUUUUUACCUUUUGGUCUUUAAAACUAAAGUUUAGUGCUUUAAAUCUUAAUUUAAAAAACAACUUUUGGCAACGGAUCU
rnacentral:misc_RNA from 1 species